CUGUAAGCCAUGUCGUCAGUCGCCCCUCCCUCCGUCAGGGCAACGGCAGACAAUCUGCAUCUGAGUUGAGAAUACUGACCAGAGCGGUCACAAUGGAGCACUCUGGGGUAGCUCCCGGAGGCCAAUACCGUCGAAUUGCUUCCACAGUACCCCAAAAUUGACCCGGCAAAGCUAAUUUCAGCGCUAAUCCCCUUGUUGGGGGUGGAGUAAGGAAAUUGAUUUUAAGAGCCCUUUAAGU